AUCUAAGCGGGAAGCCUUUUUCAAGAUGAGAUCUCCCACCGGGAUAACCGGGUAAGGCCCGUGGUAGACCACCACGUUGAUAGGCCGGAGGUGUAAGCACGGCAACGUGUUCAGCCGACCGGUACUAAUCGGCCGAGGGCUUGGUUAC
rnacentral:rRNA from 1 species